UCAAGUUCACCGAAUCCCAGGACUCACAGAGCUAUUAGAGGUCAUCCACUCUAGCCUCCCUCAGUGGGUAUUAGAAUCCCCUGUUCAAUAUCCAUGAAAACUGUUAUUAAUCUUACUACAGGCAAGAUCGUGCAGGAGGAAUUUCAGAAUUUACCCAGGCAGGCUGUGGCUCCCUGUACUCCAAUCAGAUCAGUGCCGGAUGGUUAUGUUUCCGUAUUCCUGGUGGGCCCUUGCAGAACCAUUAUUCCUGCCUUCACGUGAAAUCCAGAGCCCAGAGAGAAAGCAGCUUUCAGAGACUGCUGUGGCCAAACCACAGUCUUUGCAGAUGGACUCUGCGUGAGCAUGUGCGUGUGUGUGUGUGUGUUGGGGCAUGCAUUCCAACACUCAGCCAAGCAGACUACAACUCCCCUUAAGCCUUCACUCCCUGCUCCUACAGAGCCUGACUUCAGCCAGAGGUACAUACUAGGAAUGCCAGCUGUUGUCUUCAUGCCACUGCAAGCUGGGAAGUGGGAGAUGGUAUCAGGUUCCAGGAGAGAUGCAGUAAACCCAUGGCAGCCUCUGUCUCCCACUGACUGUAAAAGCCAAGCAGAGUGUACGGCACAGCUAUUUGAAGUCUCUGAACAAAUUCACCCAGGGACCGGGAGAGGAGGUCUGUGCCGAACCCCCUCCAGGCAGCCCUGGUCAAC